UGGGGAAUAUUGGACAAUGGGCGCAAGCCUGAUCCAGCCAUGCCGCGUGAGUGAUGAAGGCCCUAGGGUUGUAAAGCUCUUUCACCGGUGAAGAUAAUGACGGUAACCGGAGAAGAAGCCCCGGCUAACUUCGUGCCAGCAGCCGCGGUAAUACGAAGGGGGCUAGCGUUGUUCGGAUUUACUGGGCGUAAAGCGCACGUAGGAGGACUUUUAAGUCAGGGGUGAAAUCCCGGGGCUCAACCCCGGAACUGCCUUUGAUACUGGAAGUCUUGAGUAUGGUAGAGGUGAGUGGAAUUCCGAGUGUAGAGGUGAAAUUCGUAGAUAUUCGGAGGAACACCAGUGGCGAAGGCGGCUCACUGGACCAUUACUGACGCUGAGGUGCGAAAGCGUGGGGGGCAAACAGG
rnacentral:rRNA from 1 species